CUUCAUGAGAAUCAAAAUAGAAGUGAGACUGAAGCCGAACAUGAACAUAAUUUUGGUGAAACUACUCCUUGUCCAGUGUCCGCUGCAGCACCACGUGGGUACACCGGCAUCGAUCUAUGCCUGAUGUUGUUUUCUGUAUAGGCAUUUUAAAUACCAUGACUCUACAGAUGUUAAUUGGUAUGACGGAAGAAGUAAAACUUUCGCAGAACAGAUUUUUUGUAUGCUGUGUCCACGUCAGAUGCAUAAGGAAAGGUCAAGCCAGAUCUGCUACUGCAAACUGAACAUAAAGUGGCAUAUUUGUGUGUCAGGAAACAAGGAACAUGUAUUGCUGGACUGAGAAUCUAACCGGGGAUCCCUGCAUCACCACUCAGAUAAAAAGAACUACCAGAAGGAGACAGUAAAGAGGAACGGACAAAUCACACCAUAAGACAUG